rnacentral:rRNA from 1 species
UACGGAGAGUUUGAUCCUGGCUCAGGAUGAACGCUGGCGGCGUGCCUAAUACAUGCAAGUCGAGCGAACUGAUUAGAAGCUUGCUUCUAUGACGUUAGCGGCGGACGGGUGAGUAACACGUGGGCAACCUGCCUGUAAGACUGGGAUAACUUCGGGAAACCGAAGC